rnacentral:tRNA from 1 species
UGAGCCAUGGUGUAAUGGUAACACUACUGGUUUUGGUCCAGUCAUUUAAGGUUCGAAUCCUUAUGGCUCAA